UACGAAGGGAGCGAGCGUUAUUCGGAAUGAUUGGGCGUAAAGGGCGCGUAGGCGGUGUAAUAAGUUUUUUGUUUAAUUUCUUGGCCUAACUAAGAACAUGCAGAGAAUACUGUUAUGCUAGAGUCUAAUAGAGGGAAGUGGAAUUCUCGGAGUAGCGGUUAAAUGCGUAGAUCUCGAGAGGAACGCCAAUGGCGAAGGCAGCUUCCUGGAUUAAUACUGACGCUAAUGCGCGAAGGCGUGGGGAGCAAACAGGAUUAGAUACCCCGUU
rnacentral:rRNA from 1 species